GUACUGAGACACGGACCAGACUCCUACGGGAGGCAACAGUGAGGAAUAUUGGACAAUGGGAGCAAUCCUGAUCCAGCCAUGCCGCGUGCAGGAAGACUGCCCUAUGGGUUGUAAACUGCUUUUAUACAGGAAGAAAAAGGUGUACGUGUACACUGUUGACGGUACUGUAAGAAUAAGGAUCGGCUAACUCCGUGCCAGCAGCCGCGGUAAUACGGAGGAUCCAAGCGUUAUCCGGAAUCAUUGGGUUUAAAGGGUCCGUAGGCGGGAUGAUAAGUCAGUGGUGAAAGUCUGCAGCUUAACUGUAGAAUUGCCAUUGAUACUGUUGUUCUUGAGUUAUUGUGAAGUGGUUAGAAUGAGUAGUGUAGCGGUGAAAUGCAUAGAUAUUACUCAGAAUACCGAUUGCGAAGGCAGAUCACUAACAAUGAACUGACGCUGAUGGACGAAAGCGUAGGUAGCGAACAGGAUUAGAUACCCUGGUAGUCUACGCCGUAAACGAUGGUUACUAGCUGUUCGGGUUAAUUGAGACCUGAGUGGCUAAGCGAAAGUGAUAAGUAACCCACCUGGGGAGUACGUUCGCAAGAAUGAAACUCAAAGGAAUUGACGG
rnacentral:rRNA from 1 species